UAUUUUCUUCGGGGACUUGUUUGUAUUUUCUAUUCUUCUUAAUGACUGUUUUUAAUUGCUUUUGAUUGCUCUUUAAUGCUUUGUGUAACGCACUUUGCAUUGCCUUGUUGCUGAAAUAUGCUAUAUAAAUAAACU